rnacentral:rRNA from 1 species
UGGCGGACGGGGGAGUAAUGUCUGGGAAACUGCCCGAUGGAGGGGGAUAACUACUGGAAACGGUAGCUAAUACCGCAUAACGUCGCAAGACCAAAGAGGGGGACCUUCGGGCCUCUUGCCAUCGGAUGUGCCCAGAUGGGAUUAGCUUGUAGGUAAGGUAACGGCUUACCUAGGCGACGAUCCCUAGCUGGUCUGAGAGGAUGAUCAGCCACACUGGGACUGAGACACGGCCCAG